AUGACGUCCUUCUUCAGGUUCGCGACGUCUGGCGGGUACCUCCCGAAGUCCGAGAGCACGUACAUGGCGGCGCUGAGCUUCCUCCUGGCCUGCAUCAUGCUGUUGGGAUGGUGAGGGACGACGAGGUGGUCCUUGCCGCCCCACCUCCUCCACUCCUCCUGCCUCAUCAGGUACCUCACCAGCUCGGCCUGCAGGACCCUGUUCCUGCUCACCCUAUCCCUCCCCCGGAGCUUCGAGUGCCGGUUGUAG
rnacentral:rRNA from 1 species